UACAGGGGGGCAAGCGUUGUUCGGAAUUACUGGGCGUAAAGGGCUCGUAGGCGGCCAACUAAGUCACACGUGAAUCCCAGCUUAACCUGGGAACUGCGUGUGAUACUGGAUGGCUUGAAUCCGGGAGAGGGAUGCAGAAUUCCAGGUGUAGCGGUGAAAUGCGUAGAUAUCUGGAGGAAUACCGGUGGCGAAGGCGGCAUCCUGGACCGGCAUUGACGCGUGAUGGAGCGAAAGCUAGGGAGCAAACGGG
rnacentral:rRNA from 1 species